rnacentral:lncRNA from 1 species
CGGUGCUUGCCCAUCGGCUCAGCCGGGGACCGGCGAGCUGCCGCCGAGGUGAUGCUGCGGCCGGAGGAGCCCCGGGCGGGGGAGGCGGUGGCAGUCGCUGGAGAGACGACGGGGGAGCUGCUGAGGCGGAGCCCCCUGCGGCGCGGGGCGAGAAGGCGAAAGUAGAUGAUCUCCUGGGAGGAGCAGUGUGAAAAUUUGGGGAGAAGGCUUUACAAUUUUGAUGUGGGAGUGCUGUCAUCUACUAUUUGGAUUUUGUUGUCUCAUGAAUUACAUGAGAAUACUAGAAGUGAUACAUCAGAGAUCCAGGAAGAGACAAUGCCGUUCAUUGAAGACAAGGUGAUGGAAAUGAACCACAUCUAUGCCAAAGCUGAUAAAUGA